rnacentral:lncRNA from 1 species
UUCUCUAAGCCAAAUCACAUGGCAUACUCCAUGGACUUCAUAUCUACAUCCUUACCAAGCAAUAGGCACAUUCCUUAGCUAUAUCGAUUCUUAAACGUUCAUUCAAAACUAAGUUCACGUUCAAGACUUUUUAUGGUUUUAACUCACAUAACCACUUACGAUUUCUUAUUUGGUCAUGACCUAUCAACGAUUUGGUCAUUACUAGGCAUCCUUAUCUCUCCUCAAUAAACAUG